UGAAAAAUUCCAAAAAGGGGAAGGAAAGGAGGAGGAAAAGUAUAUUGAUGUAGUCAUCAAUAAGAAUAUGAAGCUGGGACAAAAAGUUCUGAUUCCAGUAAAACAAUUCCCUAAGUUCAACUUUGUGGGAAAACUUUUGGGCCCCCGUGGUAAUUCUCUAAAGCGUUUACAGGAAGAAACGCUGACAAAAAUGUCUAUUUUGGGAAAAGGUUCUAUGAGGGACAAGACAAAGGAGGAGGAGUUGAGAAAAAGUGGAGAGGCAAAGUAUUUCCACCUAAAUGAUGACCUGCAUGUUUUAAUUGAAGUAUUUGCUCCCCCUGCUGAAGCAUAUGCCAGAAUGGGACAUGCACUGGAAGAAAUCAAGAAGUUCCUCAUUCCUGACUACAAUGAUGAAAUCAGACAGGCACAGCUUCAAGAAUUGACAUAUUUAAAUGGUGGUUCAGAAACUGCAGAAGUUCCAGUCGUUCGUGGAAAAGCAUCUAUUCGAGCAAGAGGAGUGCCAGUUCCUGCUUUGUCCAGGGGCCGUGGAGGGGUGCCUCCACCACCAGCAGGAGUACCCAGAGGGGCACCAGCACCCAGGGGAGUGCCUCCCAGCAGAGGACCAGUCAGUCGUAGCCGGGGACUUCUGGCACCCAGGGCAAGAGGAGUCCCCCCUCCUGCAGGAUACCGGCCCCUCCCGCCGCCCCCGGCACAGGAGACCUACGGGGAAUAUGAGUAUGAUGAUGGCUAUGGAGCUGCUUAUGAUGAACAAAGCUAUGAUUCUUAUGAUAACAGCUAUAGCACUCAAGCACAAAGUGGAGCAGAUUACUAUGACUAUGGUCACGGCCUGAGUGAAGAAACAUAUGACUCUUAUGGGCAAGAAGAAUGGACCAACUCACGACACAAGGCACCUUCUGCAAGGACAACAAAAGGAGUCUACAGAGACCAGCCAUAUGCCAGAUACUGAUUGUACUGUCUGAUGUUGUGAAAUAUCCAAUCUCCACCAGUCCUGUAUACUGUUCAAAGAAACCCACCUCUUUGGACAGCCAAGAGAACAAAAACCCUAAUCUUCUGAUGCUUUGGAACUUCUGCCAUGUUAAUUAUGGACUGCUUAGAGCAUUGUACUUAUCCGUGUGCCCAGACAUCAGCGAGAGGCUACGGAGUGUGAAAAUCCUGUUCAGUAUUUCUUGUAUUAAAGCCUUAAAGUGUAUAACAGUAUACACUUUUUAAAAUAAUUGUAUAUUUAAACUCUUAAUUGUAUAGUGAUGCAACAAUGUUUUAUUUGGAGCUCAAUAAAAAAUUUUCAUCUAAGUUCCUGUUACAAGCAAUAACGCAACCUCCCGUUCCUUCUGCUCCUUUAGUGACUGUUUUUAGCCUUAUGCAGCAAGUGUAAGAGAGUGUGUGAAGUCUCAUGACUAGAAUUUAAAUGCUUUUGGAAAUAGCUUGUCUAACGUAUGAACAACAUGGAUGAGUUAAAAUGAAGAUUGGUGGUUUAUGCUGAGGCUUUUCCUAAUAGCUGAUUGUAAACAAGUCUGCUUAAAACAAGACUCUUGGGUAGAAAUGAUGCUCCAACUUCCGUUACCUUCAAAAGCAUGAAGGUGUUUAAUCCCUGUCAAUUAUACUAUGCUGCUUAUUCUCUUUCACUUGGUGUUUGAUGCAUAGAAAUGUUUUCUCUAAUACACAGUCACAGGUUUUCUAGUAGUAGAGUCUUGGAUGUGGUUUUUACACCUUGAUAAAUCUUAUAUCCAACAGUCAUGUUUCCUCAGUGCUUUCUGUUUUAUAUUAAUUGUGAUUGUGAUAAUUUGCAACAGAAAUAAAACUCUGAUAGUUUA